GAAAUCUACAGAGCACAAAAGAAGGAAGAGUGUAAAGCCCUUACAGGAGAAGCUGACUGCCCCUAGAUGAAGAGACCAGAAUGAGAAGGAGGCCAUUUAUGGUUUGCAAUUCAGAACAAGGACACCAUGAAAAGAAGAUGAUGGGCAGGAUUCUGAAAUGAAACCAUGACACACACUUGUAAGGUGAAACUGCAGUCACUUUUCAAAUCCAGAUGAACCACAAAAACCAAGCAGAACUGUACACAUCACAGGCAACUUCUCCUGAAAGAAACUGAGUUGGGCCCACCCAAAUGAGCAAGCACAAACAGAAACGUGUUGUCUUCCCAGAAAAGUGAAAAGAUCAAACAUUCCCUGGGCAGCCAGGACCCAGACCACACCCAGUUUACCAGCAGAACAUCUUUGACCUCUCUCGUUUAUUCAAGACCCAUCAGCGAGAGACUAAACUGUGCAAUGGAAAAAUGUCCCAGUCACGAGACUUGGCUCAGAUCCUUCCUGGACUCAUUUCUAACUAUGUGACCCUAAGCCUCAGCUUCCUGAUCAGGUGAAUGGGGACAAGAGUAAUUAUUUUGUAGGCUUGCUGGGGGAAUUACAAGGAAUUUAUAAUAUGAUGAUCAAUAAAUGACAGCUUAUAUUAAUAAAAAUAACAGAAAUGGAGAAAAAGAGGAAGCAAAAACAGAAAAUAUUACUCCCAAAUACUUCCUCCAAAACUUACUUUGAGGAAUUGAUGUGAAUUUUUUUAUUACAAACAUUUUAAGCAAACAAAAUAUGGAGAGUGUACCCAUUCCCUAGCUCUUGAUUUCUAGUAUUUUGAAAUACUUAAAACACAUUUUUAAAGAAAUGAAACACCGAAGAUACAGUUGUGUAGCCCUUGUCUAUUCUGUUCUCCACACCUCUACACUCUGGACACUGUCCAACUUCCUUUUUUAUGUUCUGUUUCUUGGGGCUUCCUUCCUCCAGCCUGAACUAACAAUCACCACAACCAACUUCUCUCUCUGCAUUAUCUGUAUUCUGGCUGAAGAGUUACCUGCUUCUUCUAGGACUGCAAGCUUCUGCUGAGGAGAAAAGGAAACUCUGGCCCUCCAGCACUGCCCACUGUCUCAAAAGGAGCUCCUUAAAAGAGGCUGAAGCUGAUGGUGGUCAGGCUAGAAAGAAGAGUGCGGACCCCUCCCUGCAUAGUGCUGGGCAUUAGGGUCUUCAGCUGUGGGCUCACAGCUGUGUCCUAGAAAAUAAAUUAUUUUGACAAAUGGGAUCUAAUUAAACUAAAGAGCUUCUGCACAGCAAAAGAAACUACCAUCAGAGUGAACAGGCAAC
rnacentral:lncRNA from 1 species